GUACAAUCAAUUUCUCAUGGCUUGCUAUGAUCCUGACACUGAUGAAUACCAAAGUGUCUGUCGUGUAAUGUCCGGCUUCUCUGAUGCGUUUUGUAUAGAGAUGAGAAAUGGUUAAAUCUCUUGAUGUUGAAGAUGGUUAUCUCCCGUCAAAGCGUUCGGAUUCUUGGUUAAAGGUGAAGUGAAAUUAUGUCGAAGGUUUAAAUGAUUUCUUGGGCUUGGUUCCUAUUUGUGCUUGGUACGGGAAUGGAAGGAAUGUUGGAUG